CCAUUAUAGGGGUCUUGAGCGUCCUCCUCAGAGUUCCUGCAAAAGAAGAAGAGUGAGAGAGAAGGACUGAGAGAAGGUUUGAGAGAGAGAGAACGGAUUUGCCGGAGUUUUCGUCGGAGAGUCGCCUAUAGGAUCCAUUCCCUACUAAGACCUGUACUCUGGAGCCCUUCUUGGAGUGAAGUAAGAACUCGUGUGGAGAUUUCCUCCUCUUCCCUCAAGAUCAGAAACAAAAAAAAAACCCAAGGGAAGAUUCGCCGCUGAUCUUGGUGAGGAAAACGGACGAAACGACGAGAUCGGAGAGACUACCCAAGAACGGAGGAGGGAGAAAACCGCCGGCGUACCACGUGGCAACCAGCUAGAGGGCCGCGUGCGCCAAUCGCCCCCGGACACGCGUCGAGCGCCGCCUGGGAAAACGCGGCUCCAGCUCUCCUGCAACACGCGUCUCUGGCUACGCGACCCGGACCUGCGACUGCAAAAAUCUCUGGGCGCGUGACACUCGCGCGUGGGAUCUGCGAGUGGCUGCUCCCCGGCGUGUGACUGGCGCGUGGAGGCGCGUGACCUUAUUGAGGAAAAAUCACCCCCUCUCGAUACGCCAAGUGUGUGGAAACGCUGCGUAAGGGCACGUAGCAUCCAAGUACGUGAGGCGUCGAGUCAAGAGAGGGCGCGUCGAUCGAUGUGGGUUGUCACAGAGGAAGCGUGUCCCGGGGCGUCAGUCUAGUAUAUUGAAUAGUUCACUUUGACCUUAAUGUUUCUUUUCUUGUUUUUACCUGGGCACUUAUGUCCUUUUAAUAAAGAUACGUUUUUCUUUGAA